UACGGGAGGCAGCAGUGAGGAAUAUUGCGCAAUGGGGGAAACCCUGACGCAGCGACGCCGCGUGGAUGAUGAAGGCCUUCGGGUCGUAAAAUCCUGUCAGAUGGAAAGAAAUGUAUUAUGCCUAAUACGUGUAAUAUUUGACGGUACCAUCAAAGGAAGCACCGGCUAACUCCGUGCCAGCAGCCGCGGUAA
rnacentral:rRNA from 1 species